UGGGGAAUAUUGCGCAAUGGGCGAAAGCCUGACGCAGCGACGCCGCGUGAGGGAUGAAGGUUUUCGGAUCGUAAACCUCUGUCAGAAGGGAAGAAACCGCACUGUGCUAAUCAGCAGUGCCUUGACGGUACCUUCAAAGGAAGCACCGGCUAACUCCGUGCCAGCAGCCGCGGUAAUACGGAGGGUGCAAGCGUUAAUCGGAAUUACUGGGCGUAAAGCGCACGUAGGCUGCCUUGUAAGUCAGGGGUGAAAUCCCACGGCUCAACCGUGGAACUGCCUUUGAUACUGCUUAGCUUGAAUCCGGGAGAGGGUGGCGGAAUUCCAGGUGUAGAAGUGAAAUCCGUAGAUAUCUGGAGGAACAUCAGUGGCGAAGGCGGCCACCUGGACCGGUAUUGACGCUGAGGUGCGAAAGCGUGGGGAGCAAACAGG
rnacentral:rRNA from 1 species